rnacentral:rRNA from 1 species
CAAAAACAUGUCUUUUUGAGUUAUUUUUAAAGUCUAACCUGCCCAAUGAAUUAUUUUUAAUGGCCGCAGUAAUUUGACUGUGCAAAGGUAGCAUAAUAAUUAGUCUUUUAAUUGAAGGCUUGUAUGAAUGGUUGGACGAAGUAUAAUCUGUUUCAUUUAAAUUUAUUAUAGAAUUUUAUAUUUUAGUAAAAAAGCUAAAAUUUUUUUAAAAGACGAGAAGACCCUAUAAAUCUUUAUAAUUUAUAUUUAAUUUUUAUUUUUUUGAUUUGGUUUAUUUUAAUAAUUUAGAUUAUUUUAUUGGGGUGAUAUUAAAAUUUAAAUAACUUUUAAUUUUUUUUAUUUUGACAUUAAUUUAUGAUUUAUUGAUCCAUUAAUAAUGAUUAUAAGAAUAAGUUACUUUAGGGAUAACAGCGUAAUUUUUUUGGAAAGUUCUUAUUGAUAAAAAAGUUUGCGACCUCGAUGUUGGAUUAAGAAAUAUUUUUAGGUGUAGUUGCUUAAAUAAUAAGUCUGUUCGACUUUUAAAUUCUUACAUGAUCUGAGUUCAAACCGGA